CUAGGAAUCUUGCGCAAUGGGCGAAAGCCUGACGCAGCGACGCCGCGUGGGUGAUGAAGGCCUUCGGGUCGUAAAGCCCUUUUGCGGGGGAAGAUUGUGACGGUACCCCGCGAAUAAGCCACGGCUAACUACGUGCCAGCAGCCGCGGUAAUACGUAGGUGGCAAGCGUUGUCCGGAAUUACUGGGCUUAAAGGGCGAGUAGGCGGUAGAGCAAGUCUGAGGUGGAAUCCUAUGGCUUAACCAUAGAACUGCCUUAGAAACUGCUUUACUUGAGUCAGUGAGGGGAGGGCGGAAUUCCUGGUGUAGCGGUGAAAUGCGUAGAUAUCAGGAGGAAGGCCUGUGGCGAAAGCGGCCCUCUGGCACUGUACUGACGCUGAGGCGCGAAAGCGUGGGGAGCAAACAGGAUUAGAUACCCUGGUAGUCCACGCCCUAAACGGUGGGCAUUAGGUGUAGGGCUCGUAAGGGUUCUGUGCCGAAGGGAAACCAUUAAAUGCCCGCCUGGGGAGUACGGCCGCAAGGUUG
rnacentral:rRNA from 1 species